CCCUGAUCUGGGUGAGACACAUAUCCAAAAAUCACCCAGAUCGGACCAGGGGUUCAGGAAUUAGAAAGGGUUAAAGUUUUGACCGACUGCAUGGCAAAAGUAUCCGAAAAUAGUUCCAUGUACUUUGGCCCUGCAGUCGGUCACAGAAAAGGGAAUCAAACACACGAAUGGCCUGUGUUACAGAGCCUGGGGAGGAUUCGUAUGAAUCCCCCUGUUCGUGGGAUCCUUUCUACCGAACGGCGGGCCGUUCGGUAGUUUCUGCACGAAUUGCUGGAAGUCUGGAGGUCUCAGCGGUGUUUGCUUAGUCAAGUGUCCGAUUUUAGUUCCAGACACUCGACGGCAAAACACCGCUGUUCGGGAGUUUAAGAUGGCCGCCGCCACGUGUUCGUUUCCCGAAUGGCGGCCACCCAGAGGACACAACACGCAUUACACAUAUUGCCAAUUACCCGUUUGCAACAUUGUUGCAAACGGUAAUUGGAGGCACACUUACUCCCGGGUGGUCUGGUUGUUCGGUAGUUUCACCCAAUAUAAUGAAUGAAGUGACUCUACCGAACAAUCAGGGGAAUGCUGCAUUCACAUAACACUUUAUACCGAACACAUAAUAUUAAAUACAGCCUGAAUGCAAUUUGCUACACAGUCUUAAAAAGGCAUUAUUCCUAAC